rnacentral:rRNA from 1 species
AGUGAACGCUGGCGGUAGGCCUAACACAUGCAAGUCGAACGGCAGCACAGUAAGAGCUUGCUCUUACGGGUGGCGAGUGGCGGACGGGUGAGGAAUACAUCGGAAUCUACUUUUUCGUGGGGGAUAACGUAGGGAAACUUACGCUAAUACCGCAUACGACCUACGGGUGAAAGCAGGGGAUCUUCGGACCUUGCGCGAUUGAAUGAGCCGAUGUCGGAUUAGCUAGUUGGCGGGGUAAAGGCCCACCAAGGCGACGAUCCGUAGCUGGUCUGAGAGGAUGAUCAGCCACACGGGAACUGAGACAGGGUCCAGACUCCUACGGGAGGCAGCAGUGGGGAAUAUUGGACAAUGGGCGCAAGCCUGAUCCAGCCAUACCGCGUGGGUGAAGAAGGCCUUCGGGUUGUAAAGCCCUUUUGUGGGGAAAGAAAAGCAGCAGGUUAACACCCCGCUGUUCUGACGGUACCCAAAGAAUAAGCACCGGCUAACUUCGU